AGUAAGCCAGACAAUCGCUGCUGAUUUAUCAGGAGAGGAAAGUCCGAGCUCCAUAGGGCAGGGUGCUGGGUAACUCCCAGUGGAGGUGACUCCAAGGAAAGUGCAACAGAGAUAUACCGCCCAUUAAUUUGGGUAAGGGUGGAAAGGCGAGGUAAGAGCUCACCAGCGCAAUGGCGACUUUGCGGCUAUGUAAACCCCAUCUGGAGCAAGAUCGAUAGAGAGACAUAUGAGGUUGCCCGUCUCGUCUCUGGGUGUAUCGCUGGAGCCCAUUAGUAAUAAUGGGCCUAGAUAGAUGAUUGUCAAAUACAGAACUCGGCUUAUAGACUUGUC
rnacentral:RNase_P_RNA from 1 species